rnacentral:rRNA from 1 species
GACGAACGCUGGCGGCGCGCUUAACACAUGCAAGUCGAGCGAAGCGGCGGUCGGGUGAGUAACACGUGAGUAACCUGCCUUACACAUUGGGAUAGCCUCGGGAAACCGGGAUUAAUACCAACUGGUCUAAGAUGGCCUCGCGUCCCAUUAGCUAGUUGGUGGGUAACGGCCCACCAAGGCGACGAUGGGUAGCCGGCGAGAGAGGGUGAGCGGCCACAUUGGAACUGAGAAACGGUCCAAACUCAACGGGAGGCAGCAGUGGGGAAUAUUGCACAAUGGAGGGAACUCUGAUGCAGCGACGCCGGGUGAACGAAGAAGGCUUUCGAGUCGUAAUGUUCUUUUAUAUGGGAAGCGGUACCAUAAGAAAAAGCCCCGGCUAACUACGUGCCAGCAGCCGCGGUAAUUC